rnacentral:lncRNA from 1 species
UAAAUUUUACAUUUAGUUUGUAUAUUUUAAUUAUUCACAUAAGAACAAAGUUAUAAUAUACUUUUGGACGAAGACAGAGAAAAUAUUACCCUUACAUAUCACAUUCCUUUUCAUCUCGUGAUAGUUUAUAAAAAAGAGUCCCGUUCAAGAUCAUUCCUAUUAAAUAUCAAUAUUUUUUAUAGAACAUUACUAUGUAAGAGGUUCCGUGUUUUUCCCAAUCUCUCCCCUCAUUUGAUUUCUGUUUCACGACUGAGCAAAAUAGCCCUAACUCUCUUCUCUCCUGGAAACUUUCACAAAACAUGCCUUUCUCCAACUCUCUAGACGAAGUCAAGACCGAAUCUAAGUAGCCCAGAGUUCCUUCGAUAAACUUAGCUGCAGAAAGGAAAAGCCCUAUAAUCGGACCCCUCAAGCCCUCACUUCGAUUUUGCUGGUUCCACACUUCGAUUCGGUAAGGGUUUCGAUUCAAAUGACUUCUUUUCCUUUUGCGAUUUGAAAUUUAUAUCUAACAAUUAAACAAUUUAAUUUGGAGUUGGAAAAGGGGUUUUGUUAGAUCUCUGCUUCUAAACUUCUAGUCUAAGGGCUGUUUUCUUAUUUUUUUUUGUUCUUUUUUGUUUUUGUUUUUCUCUUUUCUCAGGCAGCCAUCUUAAAAUCUUAAACUUCACCGACCUGGGCUAUUGCAAAAAUUGCACUGUGUAUCAAUGUUUAAAUAUGAUUCUACUUAUUUGGGUAUUAAUUGUUUAUGGGACUGAGUUGUUAAUCAAUUGUAAUUGCUAAGCUAUUAUUUGUACUUUGUUUGAUGCAAGGACCUUUUGGUCGUAUUUUCAAAAUUUUCUAAUAUUAGUUUUGUAUAAUUGAACAUCUUUUUAAUUUGGUGGAUUCCAGUUUUUUUUAAUUACAAACAUAAAUGCUCCAAGUUCUAUGCAGUUGGUUGGAAAUACUGUAGGUACUUGUUUUCAGUACGUAAAUGCUCCAACUUGUUAUUGGACAGAUCCAAUGUUUGAAGUUUAGGAAGAUUGCCAAGUCCCGGAGGGAUUUGGCCCGUGAUAUUGUUGUUCUGCAAUAGCCUGCAUCCCACAUUAGAAAUUUAGGACAAGAAAUAAACUGGGUUGUGAAUUUUUCAAAAAACAAAACAAGUAUUGGUUUCUUACACUUAUCUAAGAUUUGUGAGGUUAGCUAACCACUCUAACAAAAAUCCUGAUAAACCUUGGCUUGGAGCUCCACUACAAUACACAGAAAUUGACAUUUUUUUAACAUUAAAAUAGUCAAAUAAAACAUAAAUAUAUACACGUGUGUUUAGAUAUUUGAAGGUUCAAGAAAAAAAAUAAAGAAAUUACUAACAAGGCAGUGACACGAUUAUCAGGGGAACAAGUGUCAAACCAAAUGAGGGGAGAGAUUGGGAAAAACACGGAGCCUCUUAAAUAGUAAUGCUCUUUAAGAAAUAUUGCUAUUUAAUAGUAAUGCUCUUGAACGGGACUCAUAUUAUAUAUAUUCCAUUGUUGUGAUUGCUACUUCCAAUAUUUGAAGUCUGCACCCUCUGUUCUCUCUAUGUAAGAUUGUUAAUACUUAUAUUCAAGUACAUAGAGAUUGGUUAUAAUUAAAAUUUAUUUAUUUUAGUCAAUUACUUAAUUCAAAUACUGUAUUCCAUAUUAAGGGGGUGUGUUUCCACCUAGCCGGGUCAAUGAAGCAACAACUACAAUUUGAUUAGCUUAUUUUAAAGCACUGUUGUUCUGAAAAUCGUGUUAGCUCAUCUGAGAUUUAUCGGGUGGCUAGUUGACAUGAUUUAGGGACCUCCAAAGGGAAUUGAGAUCUAUUGAUUUAAUUAAUGAGGCUUUAUUGUAUGUUCCAUGGGGUACUGAAUAUUAUUGGUUUCACUUUGCAUAUUAGGUUAGUAACUGAAUAUUGAUAGGAAUGUUGAUUGCAUAAUUGUUUCGGCUGCCUCAGAGAUAUCUGUCACCACUUAACCUUCGUUAUUUCUAUAUGCAAAUUGGGCCUCCUGGAGGCCAUUGUUAUUCAUAUCUCUUUGUGGCACUGGAUGCUUUUGCUGUCAUUCUUUACUAUUGCAUGCCAUUUUCUAGUAUUUUUUUGUUUCCAGAAUUGGGAAAUGUUCAUUUGAAUUUAUCUUUAUACUUGUUAUAAAUUCUUCAGCUGCUCUUGUAGCUUAGAUGGCAGCAAUACUGGCUUCUCACAGCUGCUAUUGUCGCAACUUGCUUCAUGGUUCAUGGCUGAAAAAACAACCGGUACAACAUAUAUAGAUAAAAACCGGUACCAGACCAGCUAACCGGUUCGGUCCGAUCCGGUACGGUAUGACCGAUGAACACGCCUAAUAUCACCUUCCUUAUAAUGUUUGCAAAUAGUUUGAGUUGAAAAAUGUGGUAUUGCAUACUACUUGUUUGAUGAAAUGUCUGUGAGAAGUCAUUUGCUUUGAUUUGUUCUUCAGUGGGCCUUCAUUAUUGAUUAUAUGCAAUUUGCAAGUGGUUUUGAUGUGGGUAUUUUUGAAACCUAAAGUUAUUACAAUCAACCAACAUGAAAAUAAAAUCUAGAUUAUGAGACAUGCUUUUAAUUAUUAUGAAAAUAAAAUCUAGAUCGUUAUGAUAUACCUUUGAUCUAUGACCUAAUGAACUAAUGUUGAAGAAGCGGAAGGUAGAUUUCAGAAUCCCAAUAAAUUCAUAAAUUAUUCUACUCCAAUCUACAAGCAGAAUCCCAAUAACUAUACUUGGGUUCCUUCAGAAGUAUAGUGUAAAUCAUCUUCUAGCUGUAUUAAUUCAUAAAAAGUUGAUAGUUAUUUGAAAUAAUUUCAUUACACAACUCAAAAUUACAAAUGUCAAAUAAUAACUAGUGUGGUCAAAUCAGGGUUACCAGGAAACUCUUAUCGCCUGUGUGCCUCGUACCAAGUUCUAUUGUUCCAAAUUAUGGUGCGAGAAAUAGAUGCCUUAUGCGCUCUACCAUAGGCAGCAUUCCUUGUACCCCAUUUCGUUCGUGUACCUAGUCGAUCUGCAUUCCUCGCAACCAUGGUCAAAUAUCUAGCAUUUGAAGUGGACUCUUCAAUUGGAACAAGCUAAGAGUCCCUUCGUAUAGAAAGCUUCAGUUAUAACAUUAAUAUGUUAACCCUCUAUUCUUACACUGAGCUCAUUAGACAAUUACCUCUUGCUGCUUAUAUCCAAGCACCAAAAUCAAUAGAUUGGAGAGUUAUAUGACCAAGAUAUAUAUAUCUUUCAAGUGUUGUUUACACAAACCAAACCGCCUUCUGUUUAAGCUGGGAUGGAUGCAAGUUAUAAAUCCCGUUUGCCAUCCUGGAAACUUUUGCCUUUCCAUUACAUGGAGAGUGUAAACACAUGGUGUUGCAGCCAUGCAACCCAUAACAAAACAGCAGCAAGUCCGUGACUGGCUCACCAUUCUUGUUAAAGAUGGUAAACACAAGCCACUAUAAGAUAUCCCAUACAGUAAUGCCUCGUCAUAAUUGGAAUGAUGAUGUUCUGAUUUUUCAUUUAAUAUUUCCUGUUCUAUAUCUUCAGUGGAUGGGAGUUUGCUCAGUUCUGGAUCAAAUCGUUUCUCUAUCAGGAUUUCGUGUAUUCUAUACUUUGCUGCCAGUGUGCGGAUGCAAGACUUCCUUACAAGAUCAGAAACUAUGUGUUUUACUUCACUAAAGUUGUCAAACUCACUAAACCAUCUAACCCACCAGGUAGCUAAACCCAAAAACCGGUCAAUAAUUUGAUCAGUAUCUUGUAAGAUGAGCACAUGACAUGUACGAGCGUGCCCUUUAGUAUUACUCAACCCAUAUCUUAAAAGACGCUUCUUUAUGACAUUUAUUGGAGCAAUAAUCUUUAUAUCAAAAACAGGUUCAGAAGAAGAGCUGGAAUUGGGCAAGAGGGCAGCAGUUGCAACUGAAGAUACAUAUUCUUCUGCUCGUUUCUGAAAUGCAUAAAACGAAUCUCGUAGUUCUGGGGGAAGGGAUGGUUCAGCUAUAUAAUUUGAUAAGAUAGAUUCCUCACUCAACGCAGAUUUGGCAUUCACAUGUUGCAUCCAAAUCUUUAGCAAGACUUUGUACCAGUGAUUAGUUUCCAUCUUCUUUGACCUUCUUCAGUCCAUGAGCCAGCCAUUUUUUCCCAAUUCCGACUGUCCCUGCAUCCCAAGCUUCUUGUUUCUGUGAAGCAAAUAAUCUGACUUUAUCCUGUAACUUGUGAACAGUUCUAAUUGCAGGACUCUCUCAUACUUCUUUUAACUAAAGUACCAAGAAAUCGAACACCUUUUUUACCAUUACAUGGAGAGACAUCUGACCCCUUCCACUUCGACAACCGUGUGAUGUCUUCGAAAAGUGUGGCUUGAAAACAACUUCCAAGGCUAUUUUGAUGGCUUCUUGAACAAUUCAAAUUAAGAUUUGGAAGGACAAGGACUUAUUUGGUCCCCUCGUCGAGACAGAGAAUAUAUUAGCAUUGACAUUAAAAUUCCCAAAUGCGAGCUCUUCUGCCAUUUCUUUAAAUGAGAUUUUUUCACACUCCAGUUCUAAGUCAACAUUUGAGUCGACCCUAAUACUAUUGUAAGGAUCAAGAAGAGUUUUUGGAUUUGCAAUCACUUUCACCAUAAGGUCAUGAAAUUUACCAUUGAUAUAUUGUUCCUUCACCCUUUUCUUUAUACGAAGCUCAAAAAGUCUCUUCAGUUCCAUCCGAGUCUGGGGUUUUCUUUCUUCCAGAUUAGAAGAUUCCUCAAGUAAACAGGCUAUAAGUUCUUCGCAAGAGCCAUUUUUCCUCGCUCAUUUGUAUUAUCAUUAUUAACAGCUGCCACAGUUGAAUGAACUGAAUGACAUAAUGGUUUUCUUGUCAACCUCCCUGUUACAACAAACAAAGAAGAAUUAUAGGUAGAGUAACUAGUAGUUUCAAUUCAAUUGGAAAUUUUCUAGCUAAAAGCAAGUAAAUAGUGUUCUUCUUAUGCCACAAAACACGAAGAAUAAACUCAUUUCAUGCCAAACAAAGUAUAAUUUUCAAACAUCAACUACCAAGCAUUAUAGUACGAUUCCUACAUAUUUUCCACACCCAAUUCAUAACAUAUUCUUACAAUAAUCGAGUAAGUUAGCAAGUGAUUACCUAUACCAACAACCAACAACCGAAGAAUUGGCACCAACAAGACUCAUGCUUUCCGCUAUGGUACAUCUCGGCAAGUAUCUCCUGAAAACAAUUGGUAAACCUGCAACCCACAUUUUAUUUGCUAAUCAAAAAGUUAAAAUCUUCAUUCCCUCUCAUUUUCUUCAAGAAAAUCACCCUUCACCCAUAACUCAUAUAAACUCGAAAUCUCCAUAGCCUGCUAUGUACAACCCAAAACAAGAAUUCAAAAAUACCCACAUCAAAGCUACAUAUAAUCAAUAAUAAAAGCCCACUGAAGAACAAAUCAAAGCAAAUGACUUCUCAUAGACAUUUCAUCAAACAGGUAGUAUGUAAUACCACAUUUUUUAACUUAAACUAUUUGCAAACAUUAUAAGGAAGGUGAUAUUAGGGGUGUUCAUCGGUUAUACCGUACCAGAUCGGACUGAACCGGUUAGCUGGUCCAGUACCAGUACAGUACCGAUUUUUAUAUAUAUAUAUAUAUAUAUAUAUAUUGUACCGGUUGUUUUUUUAAUUUUUCAGCCAUGAUACCAUGAAGCAAGUUGCGACAAUAGCAGCUGAGGGAAGCCAAUAUUGCUGGCAUCUAAGCUACAAGAGCAGCUGUAGAAUUGAUAAUAAGUAUAAAGAUAAAUUCAAAUGAACAUUUCCCAAUUUUGGAAACAAAAAAAUUCAAGAAAAUGGCAUGUAAUAUUAAAGGAUGAUAGCAAAAGCAUCCAGUGCCACAAAGAGAUGAAUAACAAUGGUCUUCAGGAGGCCCAAUUUGCAGAUGGAAAUAACGAAUGUUAAGUGGUGACAGAUAUCUCUGAGGCAGCUGAAACAAUUAUGCAAUCAACAUUCCUAUCAAUAUUCAGUUACUAAUCUAAUAUGCAAAGUGAAACCAAUAAUAUUCAGUACCCCCAUGGAACUUCCAAUAAGGCCUUAUUAAUUAAAUCAAUAGAUCUCAAUUCCCUUUGGAGGUCCCUAAAUCAUGCCAACUAGCCACUCUCGAUAAAUCUCAGAUGAGUUAACACGAUUUUUAGAACAACAGUGCUUUAAAAUAAGCUAAUCAAAUUGCAGUUGUAGCUUCAUUGACUCGGCUAGGUGGAAACACACACCCUUAAUAUUGAAUCCAGUAUUUGAAUUAAGUAAUAGACUAAAAUAAAUAAAUUUUAAUUAUAACCAAUCUCUAUGUACUUGAAUAGAAGUGUGAAAGUGGUUGUCAUCAACUUUAGACAAUCAGAUAGCAGAUAUACAUAAAUACACAGUUCCAACAAUAUAAGAAGUUAUAACCAAAUGCAUAUACAAAUAUUAACGAUCUUGCAUAGAGGGUGCAGACUUCAAAUAUUGGGAUUAGUAAUCACAACAAUGGACCCUCUGUUCACUUUAUGUAACAUCAUUAAUACUUGUAUAUGCAUUUGGUUAUAACUUUUUAUAUUGUCGGAACUGUGUAUUUAUGUAUAGAUGCCUAUCUGAUUGUUUAAAGUUGAUGACAACCACUUUCACACUUCUAUUCAAGUACAUAGAGAUUGGUUAUAAUAAAAAUUUAUUUAUUUUAGUCGAUUACUUAAUUCAAAUACUGGAUUCCAUAUUAAGGGUGUGUGUGUUUACACCUAGCCGGGUCAAUAAAGCUACAACUGCAAUUUGAUUAGCUUAUUUUAAAGCAUUGUUGUUCUGAAAAUCGUGUUAGCUCAUCUGAGAUUUAUCGGGUGGCUAGUUGGCAUGAUUUAGGGACCUCCAAAGGGAAUUGAGAUGGCUGUCUCAGAGAUAUCUGUCACCGCUUAACAUUCGUUAUUUCCAUCUGCAAAUUGGGCCUCCUGGAGGCCAUUGUUAUUCAUAUCUCUUCGUGGCACUGGAUGCUUUUGCUGUCAUCCUUUACUAUUGCAUGCCAUUUUAUAGAAUUUUUUUGUUUCCAGAAUUGGGAAAUGUUCAUUUGAAUUUAUCUUUAUACUUGUUAUCAAUUCUUCAGCUACUCUUGUAGUUUAAGAUGGCAGCAAUACUGGCUUCUCACAGUUGCUAUUGUCGCAACUUGCUUAAUGGUAUCAUGACUGAAAAAACAACUGGUACAAUGUAUAUAGAUAAAAAUCGGUACCGGACCAGCUAAUCGGUUCGAUCCGGUACGGUAUGACCGAUGAACACUCCUAAUAUCAUCUUCCUUAUAAUGUUUGCAAUUAGUUUAAGUUAAAAAAUGUGGUAUUACAUACUACCUGUUUGAUGAAAUGUCUGUGAGAAGUCAUUUGCUUUGAUUUGUUCUUCAUUGGGCUUUCAUUAUUGAUUAUAUGCAAUUUGCAGGUGGUUUUGAUGUGGGUAUUUUUGAAUUCUUGUUCUAGGUUGUACAUAGCAGGCUAUGGAGAUUUCGAGUUUAUAUGAGUUAUGGGUGAAGGGUGAUUUUCUUGAAGAAAAUGAGAGGGAAUGAAGAUUUUAACUUUUUGAUUAGUAAAGAAAAUGUGGGUUGCAGGGUUACGAAUUGUUUUCAGGAGAUACUUGCCGAGAUGUACCAUAGUGGAAAGCAUGAGUCUUGUUGGUGUCAAUUCUUCGGUUGUUGGUAUAGGUAAUCACUUGCUAGCCUACUCAAUUAUUGUAAGAAUAUGUUAUGAAUUGGGUGUGGAAAAUAUAUUAUGUUAGGAAAAUAUGUUAUGAAUCUUCGUGUUUUGUGGCAUAAGAAUUACACUAUUUACUUGCUUAUAGCUAGAAAAUUUCCAAUUGAAUUGAAACUACUGGUUACUCUACUUAUAAUUCUUCUUUGUUUGUUGUAACAGGGAGGUUGACAAGAAAACCAUUAUGUCAUUCAGUUCAUUCAACUGUGGCAGCCGUUAAUGAUGAUAAUACAAAUGAGCAAGGAAAAAUGGCUCUUGCAAAGAACUUAGCCUGUUUACUUGAGGAAUCUUCUAAUCUUGAAGAAAGAAAACCCAAGACUCGGAUGGAACUGAAGAGACUUUUUGAGCUUCGUAUAAAGAAAAGGGUGAAGAAACAAUAUAUCAAUGGUAAAUUUCAUGACCUUAUGGAGAAAGUGAUUGCUAAUCCAAAAACUCUUCUUGAUGCUUACAAUAGUAUUAGAGUCGACUCAAAUGUUGACUUAGAAUUGGAGUGUGAAAAAAUCCCAUUUAAAGAAAUGGCAGAAGAGCUUGCAUCUGGGAAUUUUAAUGUCAAUGCUAAUAUAUUCUCUGUCUCGACGAGGGGACCAAAUAAGGAAGUCCUUGUCCUUCCAAAUCUUAAUUUAAAGGUUGUUCAAGAAGCCAUCAGAAUAGCCUUGGAAGUUGUUUUCAAGCCACACUUUUCUAAGACAUCACACGGUUGUCGAAGUGGAAGGGGUCACUCAUCGGCUUUGAAGUAUAUCCGUAAAGAAAUCCCUAAUCCCGAUUGGUGGUUCACCUUUGUUGUAAACAAACAGCUUGAUGCUGGUGUUCUUACUAAGCUCAUCACAACCAUGGAAAGUAAGAUGGAAGAUUCUAGUUUGUAUGCUAUUAUCAGAAGCAUGUUUGACGCUCGAGUACUGAAUUUAGAGUUUGGGGGUUUCCCAAAGGGGCAUGGUCUACCACAAGAGGGGUCAUUGUCCCCAAUUUUAAUGAAUAUAUACCUCGACCUCUUUGACUCUGAAGUUUAUAGAAUGUCAAUGAAAUAUGAAGCAUUUGAUACUAGGGCUGACGCUGAACAGGAUGGGUCAAACUCAAAAUUACGCAUCUGGUUUAGGAGACAGAUGAAUAGCAGUAGUGUGCAGUGCACUUCUGAGUUGAACUCUAAUGUGAGGGUACAUUCUUGUCGCUUCAUGGAUGAGAUAUUUAUUGUCAUUUCUGGUUCAAAAGAAGUUGCCCUUGCUUUCAAGUCCGAGAUACAAAACUACUUGCAUAAUUCACUCCACAUAAAUGUUGAUAAUUGUACAGAUGUCUCUCCAUGUAAUGGUAAAAAAGGUGUUCGAUUUCUUGGUACUUUAGUUAAAAGAAGUAUGAGAGAGAGUCCUGCAAUUAGAACAGUUCACAAGUUACAGGAUAAAGUCAGAUUAUUUGCUUCACAGAAACAAGAAGCUUGGGAUGCAGGGACAGUCAGAUUUGGGAAAAAAUGGCUGGCUCAUGGACUGAAGAAGGUCAAAGAAUCAGAGAUCAAACAUCUAUCUGAUACUUGUUCUUUGUUGAGCAAAAUUUCCCACUUUCGUAAAGCUGGGAUGGAAACUGAUCACUGGUACAAAGUCUUGCUAAAGAUUUGGAUGCAACAUGUGAAUGCCAAAUCUGCGUUGAGUGAGGAAUCUAUCUUAUCAAAUUAUAUAGCUGAACCAUCCCUUCCCCCAGAACUACGAGAUUCAUUUUAUGCAUUUCAGAAACGAGCAGAAGAAUAUGUAUCUUCUGAAACAGUUGCAACUGCUGCCCUCUUGCCCAAUUCCAACUCUUCUUCUGAACCUGUUUUUGAUAUAAAGAUUAUUGCUCCAAUAAAUGUCAUAAAGAAACGUCUUUUAAGAUAUGGGUUGACUAAUACUAAAGGGCACGCUUGUACAUGUCAUGUGCUCAUCUUACAAGAUACUGAUCAAAUUAUUGACUGGUUUUUGGGUUUAGCUUCCCGGUGGGUUAGAUGGUUUAGUGAGUUUGACAACUUUAGUGAAGUAAAACACAUAGUUUCUGAUCUUGUAAGGAAGUCUUGCAUCCGCACACUGGCAGCAAAGUAUAGAAUACACGAAAUCCUGAUAGAGAAACGGUUUGAUUCAGAACUGAGCAGACUCCCAUCCACUGAAGAUAUAGAACAGGAAAUAUUAAAUGAAACAUUAGAACAUCAUCAUUCCAAUUAUGACGAGGCUUUACUGUAUGGGAUAUCUUAUAGUGGCUUGUGUUUACUAUCUUUAACAAGAAUGGUGAGCCAGUCACGGACUUGCUGUUGUUUUGUUAUGGGUUGCAUGGCUGCAGCACCACGUGUUUACACUCUCCAUGUAAUGGAAAGGCAAAAGUUUCCAGGAUGGCAAACGGGAUUUACAACUUGUAUCCAUCCCAGCUUAAACAGAAGGCGGAUUGGUUUGUGUAAACAACACUUGAAAGAUAUAUAUCUUGGUCAUAUAUCUCUCCAAUCUAUUUAUUUUGGUGCUUGGAGAUAAGCAGCAUGAGGUGAUUGUCUAAUGAGCUCAGUGUAAGAACAGAGAGGUAUAUUAAUGUUAUAACUGAAGCUUUCUGUACGAAGGGACUCUUAGCUUGUUCCAAUUGAAGAGUCCACUUCAGAUGCUAGAUAUUUGACCUAUGGUUGCGAGGAAUGCUAAUCGACUAGGUACACGAACGAAAUGGGGUACAAGGAAUGCUACCUGUGGUAGAGCGCAUAAGGCAUCUAGUUCUCGCACCAUGAUUUGGAACAAUAGAACUUGGUACGAGGCACAUAGGCGAUAAGAGUUUCUUGGUAACCCUUAUUUGACCACAUUAGUUAUAAUUUGACGUUUGUAAUUUUGAGUUGUGUAAUGAAGUUAUUUCAAACAACUAACUUUUUAUGAAUUAAUACAGCUAGAAGAUGAUUCACACUAUACUUCUGAAGGAACCCAAGUAUAGUUAUUGGGAUUCUGCUUGUAGAUUGGAGUAGAAUAAUCUAUGAAUUUUAUAUUGAUAGAAAUAGUUAAAUCUUUUAUAGUCACCAACAUCACUUUACUGAAAUCUAACUUCCGCUUCUUCAACAUUAGUUCAUUAGGUCAUAAUAGAUCAAAGGUAUAUCAUAAUGAUCUAGAUUUUAUUUCAUAAUAAUUAAAAGCAUGUCUCAUAAUCUAGAUUUUAUUUUCAUGUUGGUUGAUUGUAAUAACUUUAGGUUUUGUGUUAAUAUUUAUAGUACUACAUUAUUCUUGCUGAUUUUCUUAAUGAGGGUUGGGCUGAACUUAUCCGUUCCAGUAACAUCAGUCACACUCCAACUUAUACCAUUUUUUUUUUUUGAGAACCUAUACUAUUACAAUUCAAUUCUAGGGGAUACAUUUCAUCCUAGGAUCUGGGAGGAGCCUAGGGAAGGGGCCAGGGGGGAACUUAGGGGAAACUUACCUUCGAUCUUCUGUAGCGCCCCCCCUGUUGAAAUCUUGCUGAGAGAUAGACUUGAACCUGACCUUUACCAUUGGGAUAUCAUCUAAAUCUGGUGUUGAUGCCCAAUUAUAUAGAAGGCAGAUUAAUUUGUGGUAUCUUCUUAUUUGUUGGAAUAAUUUGGUGUAUGUUUUUAUUGUAAAGCUAAUAUUGCAAAGUUUAUUAGAUGUGGUUGGCUUUUCUUAAUGUUUAUAUGUAGAUGAUUUGCCAGAACCACUUUUCAUCAUUUUAGUUUAGAGUUGAAUGAACUUUGCAUUCCCGAAUUUUACCCCAUUUUGCACAUUAUUUCCUAUAUUUUGGGCCGAAGGUGUUAUGUGUCGGCUCGCUAAAAGUGCGAGAUGCAAAUUGUUACGUUUUGAAGUAUAGGAUGCAAUGUGAAAAAUGAGGUAAGCUUUGGGGAUGCAAAGUGUAUUUAACUCUUUUAGUUUACUUUGAAGAGAUUUUUUAAUAAGAAUUUGUUUUGAAGUUACUACUGUAUUUUACAGAAACACAAACUGAUAUAUACAAUGUAGAUAUCUGGGCUAUUAAACGAAACACAACAUCAGUAUGAAAGUGUCGUGCUCAUGUGACACCCUAUUUUGGGCCUUCUUUGUGUCAUUUUACAGAAUUUCAUAGUGUUAUCAUUACAGAAGUCCUCAGAGUUACUAUUUAUCACAUUCUAUUUUGUUUCCUUCUCAGUCACUUAUCAUUUAUUACAUUAUACAACUCCCAUAAUUGGAGCCAAAUUACCUAUCAAUAGAAAAAAAAAAAUGUCAUUCACAUUCUCUGGGUUUUCACUUUUAUUCACAGAUAUUGGAGCUGGCUUCAUCAACUGUGAUUGCAAGUUUUUGUAAUGUCAUGUAUUCAUGUUUGAUAGGCUCAUGCAUCCAGGCUUCCAGCAGGCAUCAGAUAGGAUUAAUUAUUGUACGACUUCGCCUUGAUUAUUAAAGAGUCUGAGCCUCUCUAUGAUGCAAGUUACCUGGUACUUGAAAGCUGAUUUUAAUUGGUGCAAAUUCAUUUUUCGUAAGUUGUGUUGUUGUUCAUUUUGCAUUUAAAACAUUUACUAGUGCGGACCAUCUCUUUUCCUAUAAAGUAAUUUUUCCAGCUUCAGCCCAACUGUUCAAAUUGCAGAUGUUAAAGCAUGAUAUACAUUCUUAGGCCCAUUCUCAGACAAUUUAAGCUUGUAGAGAAACUGGUCUUUAAAGAAAUUUCUUAAUUAACAGUAGGCAUAUGGACUUUAGCUUGUCUGUAUAGAAAACUAUGGACAUUGUAAACAUAUCCACUUUUCUUUUGAUAGACGUCAGGAGGAUGUCUCUCGUAUGCAGACGACAGAUAUAUAUCAAUCAGGCAUAGAGCUAUAUAAGGGUCAUCUACACUAAACAACCACCCAACCAUAUAUAAAGUUCUAACUCCAUUAGAGCACCCAAAAACUUAAUCACAACUAAGCUCCCAACUCAAACUCCCCCAAAAACUCCACAAAAGAUGCCAGAGGACUGGGAUACACCCAGUGUUCUAAAAGUUCUAGGUGCCCCACCUAGGUGCUAGGCACUGCCCACUUUGGUGAGGAAAUGCUAUGUGCUACGCACUGCCCAUCGACCACCAUUAUUCUCGCCAUCCGCCACCAGCGCUAUCAUCAACCACCAUUGUUGCAACUUGUUUCCUCCUCUUCCCCCAAGAAUAUGCAUGACUGCAAUUUGUUUUCUUUAAAUAAAUUGGGAUGGGAUAAUGAUACUUUUUUUAAAAAAAUAUUUAAAAUUAAUACCAAGACCCUCAAAUUUCUAUCGCAGUUCAAAAUUGGCCCUAUAACUUGAAUGCUUUAAAUCAAUCCCUAAACUUCUACUUUUGACAAUCAUAACUUUAAUUUAUUAGAUAUACAAAAGAAUAGCCUUAGUUAUAUUACACAUAAGAAAAAUUAAUAAAACUACACUGCCUAGGAAAACUCCUGGGCCCCACUUUUAAAGCUUAGGCGCUUGAAACUCCCUCCGCCACCUAGUGUUUUUGUUUUUUAUAACACUGGAUACUUCUCAUUUAGCCAAAACUAGAACAAGCUCAAAACAUGAACUGAUACUAUGGAUAAUUGAUCUUUGUUUGUCCUCAGGACCGAUUGAUCCUCUCUCAAAAGCACCCACUCCAAACAGUUAAGUGGUCUUGGAGCUUUUUUUAAAUGGUAUCACUUCUUGCUAUCCCUAUCAAAAGACUUGAAUUUAGUCAAAGCUGUUUAAAGUCAAUAUGAAUCAGGGAAUAUUAUGUGCUUAUGUUCUUGAUGAAUUGAAAAAAAAGGUGUAUACUAAAAAGAUAAAAGGGUCUAGAGCUCACAUAGUUCAGGGUGGAUGUAAUUGAUUAAAAUUGAAGAAAUAAAUUUAGAUUAUUAUUAUUAGCCUCUUUACUUUGCCUUAGAUUUUGUUUCUACAAUUUGUUUUUUCAUCUAUUUUUACACUGAGUUGGCU